rnacentral:rRNA from 1 species
GAUGCUAAUACCGGAUAACAACAGAUGAUGCCUAUCAACUGUUUAAAAGAUGGUUCUGCUAUCACUCUUGGAUGGACCUGCGGUGCAUUAGCUAGUUGGUAGGGUAACGGCCUACCAAGGCGAUGAUGCAUAGCCGAGUUGAGAGACUGAUCGGCCACAUUGGGACUGAGACACGGCCCAAACUCCUACGGGAGGCAGCAGGU